GAUGAACGCUGGCGGCGUGCCUAAUACAUGCAAGUCGAGCGAACAGACGAGGAGCUUGCUCCUCUGACGUUAGCGGCGGACGGGCGAGUAACACGUGGAUAACCUACCUAUAAGACUGGGAUAACUUCGGGAAACCGGAGCUAAUACCGGAUAAUAUAUUGAACCGCAUGGUUCAAUAGUGAAAGACGGUUUUGCUGUCACUUAUAGAUGGAUCCGCGCCGCAUUAGCUAGUUGGUAAGGUAACGGCUUACCAAGGCAACGAUGCGUAGCCGACCUGAGAGGGUGAUCGGCCACACUGGAACUGAGACACGGUCCAGACUCCUACGGGAGGCAGCAGUAGGGAAUCUUCCGCAAUGGGCGCAAGCCUGACGGAGCAACGCCGCGUGAGUGAUGAAGGUCUUCGGAUCGUAAAACUCUGUUAUUAGGGAAGAACAAAUGUGUAAGUAACUAUGCACGUCUUGACGGUACCUAAUCAGAAAGCCCCGGCUAACUACGUG
rnacentral:rRNA from 1 species